GAUGAACGCUGGCGGCGUGCCUAAUACAUGCAAGUCGAGCGAACGGACGAGAAUCUUGCUUCUCUGAUGUUAGCGGCGGACGGGUGAGUAACACGUGGAUAACCUACCUAUAAGGCUGGGAUAACUUCGGGAAACCGGAGCUAAUACCGGAUAAUAUUUUGAACUGCAUGGUUCAAAAGUGAAAGACGGUCUUGCUGUCACUUAUAGAUGGAUCCGCGCUGCAUUAGCUAGUUGGUAAGGUAACGGCUUACCAAGGCAACGAUGCAUAGCCGACCUGAGAGGGUGAUCGGCCACACUGGAACUGAGACACGGUCCAGACUCCUACGGGAGGCAGCAGUAGGGAAUCUUCCGCAAAGGGCGAAAGCCUGACGGAGCAACGCCGCGUGAGUGAUGAAGGUCUUCGGAUCGUAAAACUCUGUUAUAAGGGAAGAACAUAUGUGUAAGUAACUGUGCACAUCUUGACGGUACCUAAUCAGAAAGCCACGGCUAACUACGUG
rnacentral:rRNA from 1 species